UACAGAGGGUGCGAGCGUUGUCCGGAAUUACUGGGCGUAAAGCGCGUGUAGGCUGUCCCGCAAGUCGGGUGUGAAAGCCCUGGGCUCAACCUAGGAAGUGCACUCGAAACUGCGGGACUCGAGUCCUGGAGAGGAAUGCGGAAUUCUCGGUGUAGAGGUGAAAUUCGUAGAUAUCGAGAGGAACACCGGUGGCGAAGGCGGCCUUCUGGACAGUGACUGACGCUGAGACGCGAAAGCGUGGGGAGCAAACAGG
rnacentral:rRNA from 1 species